AUAAAUGCCGUGAACGGGAAGAGUACAAUACAACGCCUUUAGAGAGGGGAACCAUUAGCUGAGAGGUUGUCCAGGAUGGUUGUUAUUGGAAGGUCGCCCGGGAUGCAGCUUCCUUGAAAUGGAGUAAAGGAAGCCGGUUUACAGCCGUUAAAACAUUCGAGUGUGCAGAUUGGAUGUGUCCGUCUGUAAACAAAGGUGGUACCACGGAAAUUCAGCCCUUUUCGUCCUUUAG
rnacentral:ncRNA from 1 species